AAAGUCGUAACAAGGUUUCCGUAGGUGAACCUGCGGAAGGAUCAUUAUUGAAUACAACUUGGUAUGGGUUGUUGCUGGCUUCUAAGAAGCAUGUGCACAUUCAUUCCAUUUUUAAAAACCUCCUGUGCACCUUGUGUAGACCUCUUGAAUGAACAAAUGGGUAUCAAUAUAUUCAUUGAUGAGAUGGCAAUUGCUGUGCGGUUUAAGCUCGGCUCUUUAGCCUGUGUUCUAAAAGAGGAUCUAUGUCAUUUAACUCCAAAAGAAUGUAUCAGAAUGUAGUCUCUGGGCCAGUUGUGCUCUUGAAAUACAAAUACAACUUUCAACAACGGAUCUCUUGGCUCUC
rnacentral:misc_RNA from 1 species